CGUACUGAGACACGGACCAGACUCCUACGGGAGGCAGCAGUGGGGAAUUUUGGACAAUGGGGGCAACCCUGAUCCAGCAACGCCGCGUGAGGGAUGAAGGCCUCUGGGCUGUAAACCUCUUUUCUCAAGGAAGAAGAUCUGACGGUACUUGAGGAAUAAGCACCGGCUAACUACGUGCCAGCAGCCGCGGUAAUACGUAGGGUGCAAGCGUUAAUCGGAAUUACUGGGCGUAAAGCGUGCGCAGGCGGUUAUACAAGACAGGCGUGAAAUCCCCGGGCUUAACCUGGGAAUGGCGUCUGUGACUGUAUGACUAGAGUGUGUCAGAGGGGGGUAGAAUUCCACGUGUAGCAGUGAAAUGCGUAGAUAUGUGGAGGAAUACCAAUGGCGAAGGCAGCCCCCUGGGAUAACACUGACGCUCAUGCACGAAAGCGUGGGGAGCAAACAGGAUUAGAUACCCUGGUAGUCCACGCCCUAAACGAUGCCGACUAGUUGCUGGGAAUUUACAUUCUCAGUAACGUAGCUAACGCGUGAAGUCGGCCGCCUGGGGAGUACGGUCGCAAGAUUAAAACUCAAAGGAAUUGACGG
rnacentral:rRNA from 1 species